UAGGAGAUUUGUAAAAUACGAGUUACAUGU
rnacentral:piRNA from 1 species